GACCCUUUACUCAGUUGGUAGAGCAUGGUGUUUGCAACGCCAGGGUUGUGGGUUCGAUUCCCACGGGGGGCC
rnacentral:tRNA from 1 species